UACGGAGGGUGCAAGCGUUGUCCGGAAUCACUGGGCGUAAAGGGCGCGUAGGCGGCUCAUGAAGGCUGUGGUGAAAGUCCGGGGCUCAACCUCGGAUCGGCCGUGGCGACUCGUGGGCUGGAGCACUGUAGAGGCGGGUGGAAUUCCGGGUGUAGCGGUGGAAUGCGCAGAUAUCAGGAGGAACACCAAUAGCGAAGGCAGCUCGCUGGGACGUUACUGACACUGAGGCGCGAAAGCUGGGGGAGCAAACAGG
rnacentral:rRNA from 1 species